rnacentral:rRNA from 1 species
GUGUCAGCAGCCGCGGUAAUACGGAGGGAGCUAGCGUUGUUCGGAAUUACUGGGCGUAAAGCGUGCGUAGGUGGUUUGUUAAGUCUGAUGUGAAAGCCCUGGGCUCAACCUGGGAACUGCAUUGGAUACUGGCAAGCUAGAGUGCGGUAGAGGGUGGUGGAAUUCCCGGUGUAGCAGUGAAAUGCGUAGAGAUCGGGAGGAACAUCUGUGGCGAAGGCGACCGCCUGGACCAGCACUGACACUGAGGCACGAAAGCGUGGGGAGCAAACAGGAUUAGAUACCCUGGUAGUCCACGCCCUAAACGAUGCGAACUGGAUGUUGGGUUCAGCUAGGAACUCAGUAUCGAAGCUAACGCGUUAAGUUCGCCGCCUGGGGAGUACGGUCGCAAGACUGAAACUUAAAUGAAUUGACGGGG